AGAUUGAACGCUGGCGGCAUGCCUUACACAUGCAAGUCGAACGGCAGCACGGGAGCAAUCCUGGUGGCGAGUGGCGAACGGGUGAGUAAUGCAUCGGAACGUGCCCUGAAGUGGGGGAUAACGUAGCGAAAGUUACGCUAAUACCGCAUAUUCUGUGAGCAGGAAAGCAGGGGAUCUUAGGACCUUGUGCUUUAGGAGCGGCCGAUGUCGGAUUAGCUAGUUGGUGAGGUAAAGGCUCACCAAGGCGACGAUCCGUAGCGGGUCUGAGAGGAUGAUCCGCCACACUGGGACUGAGACACGGCCCAGACUCCUACGGGAGGCAGCAGUGGGGAAUUUUGGACAAGUGGGCGCAAGCCUGAUCCGAGCCAUGCCCGCGUCGAGUGAAGAAGGCCUUGGGUUACGUAAGACGUUCGUUUACGGUCGGGAAGAAAGUGGUACGAUUUAGGUUAAGUUACCCGGUAGUCCGUAAUGACCGUACCGUACGAGUAAAGAAGACACCGACUAACUACGU
rnacentral:rRNA from 1 species